AAGUCGUAUCAAGGUUUCCGUAGGUGAACCUGCGGAAGGAUCAUUACCGAGUUCAUGCCCCUCGGGGUAGACCUCCCACCCUUUGUAUACAUUGCCUUUGUUGCUUUGGCGGGCCGCCGUCCGCGGCCACCGGCUCCGGCUGGUGCGCGCCCGCCAGAGAACCCCCAAACCCUGUCUUACAGUGUCGUCCGAGUACUAUAUAAUAGUUAAAA
rnacentral:misc_RNA from 1 species